rnacentral:misc_RNA from 1 species
GGAAGUUUUGGUGAAUAUAGAUAGGAUGUUGGUUGGAUCUGUAAUUCCAUUUCCUGUUAUUUUCACUGGCGGAAUUAAUCCUAUGUACUGGGGACCACUAGUUUCGAUUGGGGCAUUUGAUCUUCCUUCGUAUGACAUUGAUUUAACACCAUAUUUGGGGCUUUUACUCGACCGUCAAGCUCAUUUUCUAGAGCUUGGGGUGAAUGACAGUAUCCCAUUCUGGCUUGUGGGUGC